AUCCUGGCUCAGGAUGAACGCUAGCGGCAGGCUUAACACAUGCAAGUCGAGGGGUAGAGUUCUUCGGAGCUUGAGACCGGCGCACGGGUGCGUAACGCGUAUGCUAUCUACCUUUUACAGAGGGAUAGCCCAGAGAAAUUUGGAUUAAUACCUCAUAGUAUAAUUGAAUGGCAUCAUUUAAUUAUUAAAGUCACAACGGUAAAAGAUGAGCAUGCGUCCCAUUAGCUAGUUGGUAAGGUAACGGCUUACCAAGGCUACGAUGGGUAGGGGUCCUGAGAGGGAGAUCCCCCACACUGGUACUGAGACACGGACCAGACUCCUACGGGAGGCAGCAGUGAGGAAUAUUGGACAAUGGGCGCAAGCCUGAUCCAGCCAUGCCGCGUGCAGGAUGACGGUCCUAUGGAUUGUAAACUGCUUUUGUACAGGAAGAAACACUGGUUCGUGAACCAGCUUGACGGUAUCGUAAG
rnacentral:rRNA from 1 species